GUCCGUGUGAAUGAAACGAAAGGGGGGGUCUUCCGGCUCGCAGACACCGGGUCUGCGGCGGCCGCGCGCUCCCAACCCACCCGGAGCCUCCGCCGCGACAUCUUCCCACGUCCCCCAUCCAGGUCGCAGGCGCGGGGGAAAAGCCUCACGGCCGCACUGCGGCUCUGCCAAAAGGGAGCCGGGUCGAGCCGCUGAGAAAAACAGAGGGGAGACUCCUGGCGUUUGAAACCGGUCAGAACCCGCUCUCCAAGAGCUGGGGACACCCCUUGUUUGGAGGCUGAUCCCCAGCCCACCCGCUUCCUCCCCCUCCCCACACUCCUGCAGGCGCGGGGCGCAACUUGCAAUCCGAACUUCGCGCGGCCGGAGCAAGUUUGUCGGGGCGAGAAGCGCCUGGUCCUCGGUCCGCACCACCGCACUAGGUCCCCGCCACCGCCCCACCACUGUGUCAGGGGCCAGGCGUGGCCCCCGGCUGGCUAGGGAACCGAGCGCGGCGCCGCGGCUGCGCAUUCCGUGCGGGACGCCGCUGUCUCCCAAGGGUCGGGAUAAACUAGGGGGCGGUUGAUCUGAAAGUCUUAGCCACGACUAAUAGUCAACCGCCCAGGUGCGACCCGCAGCAGCCUUGGCGAUGCAGCUCGUUCUCCAGACGCGGGUCCACACCGGCGCGUCCUCGCCUCCAGGGACCGAUCGCUGUUCUCCGUGGCCGGAUAACCGACCAAGACGUUUCCAGCCUAAUGCCUGACGCCUUUUGCUUCCUCCAUCCUGGUCCUCAGUCCCUGAACUCCCAGGACAGAAUUCCUGACCUCCUUGGUCAAGCCUUGGAUCGAGAAAGAGAAACUAUUAGUGUAAACAAACCAAUCAACCCCAAAACCAAAACUGUGCCUGCCAAUAGCCCAUUUCUUGGCCAUUGAUGGUGCAUGAAGAGAAAUGGAUCCAAUUAAGAAAAUCUUAAAAUCUUAAGGAAUAAGAAAAUGUAAUAAAGAGAAAGACAAUGUCAUGCUCAGGGAGCUAAUAUGAAUCCCAAAGGAAUAUUGACUGUUCAGGCUCAAGUUAAAUUACAGCAGAUCGAAAGUGAGGAGUUGAGUGGCAUCUUCUUUUCUCUUACUGUCGACCUUGUUAAAUGGGGAGUCCACACCCCUUGCCUACUCCUCCCUCCUCAACCCCGUGACAGUGGGCCUCCCCCCAACUGUAUUGAGCAUGCACUCUAAAACAGUUACUUUUUGAGAAGUCAAGUCUGGUGACCCAUUCUCAGCCCCUCAUCCCUUUGAUCUCCUUGGCAGCAUCCUACCCUAAGGCCUUCUCUAUGCUUCUCUGGACUUCUCUGCUGACCCUUCUCUUCCUUUGAGGACAGUAACAAGGUUUUUCCAACUCUCGAUCUCCCAGUAUCCCAAAGAAAUACCUUCUGAUUUCAAACUGAACCCAUCCAGAUGUCGUGGGACCUGAAGCUUGUAUAACUCCUGGGGGAACUUCUUAAAGGAAAGCAAUAAAAACUUACAAACAUAAUACUAGACAUGUAUCCUUGGAAGGGCCCAGGGAAAAUGAGGGGCUUGGAAAUUUGAGCUUCAAGGUAUAUCUCCGGGUUUCUCUUCAAUGUCAGGGACUCUUGAAUCCAUAUUAUCGUUGUAAAAUUUCAAGUCCAAAUAAAAAUAUCCAAAAAUCAACUCAUCUUUCCC
rnacentral:lncRNA from 1 species